rnacentral:lncRNA from 1 species
GAACACUUUCUUCAAGGGUCGUCGAGGCUUGAUCUUGAAUUGGUGGAAGUUCUUCAAGGGCCGUUGGGGCUUGAUCUUGAAGGAGGAAUUUCUUCAAGGGCCAUUGGGGCUUGAUCUUGAAGGAGGAUUUGACGAAGAACGAAGAGGGCUUUCUUGAUCCUUCGGGAUUUGCUUGAAUUUGGGAGGUUGGAUGCUUGAAAGCUUUAGAAUUUCAAAGCUUCAAGGAUUUUGGAUGUGUG